rnacentral:rRNA from 1 species
CCCAGACUCCUACGGGAGGCAGCAGUGGGGAAUAUUGCACAAUGGGCGAAAGCCUGAUGCAGCAACGCCGCGUGAAGGAAGAAGGGUUUCGGCUCGUAAACUUCUAUCAACAGGGACGAAAGAAAUGACGGUACCUGAAUAAGAAGCCCCGGCUAACUACGUGCCAGCAGCCGCGGUAAUACGUAGGUGGCAAGCGUUGUCCGGAUUUACUGGGUGUAAAGGGCGUGCAGCCGGAGAGACAAGUCAGAUGUGAAAUCCGCAGGCUCAACCUGCGAACUGCAUUUGAAACUGUUUCCCUUGAGUAUCGGAGAGGUCAUCGGAAUUCCUAGUGUAGCGGUGAAAUGCGUAGAUAUUAGGAAGAACACCAGUGGCGAAGGCGGAUGACUGGACGACAACUGACGGUGAGGCGCGAAAGCGUGGGGAGCAAACAGGAUUAGAUACCCCGGUACCG